rnacentral:rRNA from 1 species
UUCGGAUUGUAAAAGCUCUGUUGGACCGGGGGAAAAAAGGAAAGGAAAAGAGGAAAUGCUUUUCUUUGGAUGGUACCCGGCCAGAAAGUCACGGCUAACUACGUGCC